CCUACGGGAGGCAGCAGUAGGGAAUCUUCCACAAUGGACGAAAGUCUGAUGGAGCAACGCCGCGUGAGUGAAGAAGGGUUUCGGCUCGGAAAGCUCUGUUGGUAUGGAAGUAAGAUAUUGGUAGUAACUGGCCUUUAUUUGACGGUAAUUACUUAGAAAGUCACGGCUAACUCCGUCCCAGCAGCCGCGGUAAUACGUAGGUGGCAAGCGUUGUCCGGUUUUAUUGGGCGUAAAGCGAGUGCAGGCGGUCCGAUAAGUCUGAUGUGAAAGCCUUCGGCUCAACCGGAGAAUUGCAUCAGAAACUGUUGAACUUGAGUGCAGAAGAGGAGAGUGGAACUCCAUGUGUAGCGGUGGAAUGCGUAGAUAUAUGGAAGAACACCAGUGGCGAAGGCGGCUCUCUAGUCUGCAACUGACGCUGAGGCUCGAAAGCAUGGGUAGCGAACAGGAUUAGAUACCCUUGUAGUC
rnacentral:rRNA from 1 species